CGGAAGAACACGUCGAGGUCAGAGGAGAAGGAAGGAAUGAAGAGGCAACACCGCUGAUCUGCAAAAUCGCUCGCGAUCUUUGCUGAAGCUCUACGGCGUGACAACAACUCUGACCCAUUCUUCAACCUCGUUUCACUACAACAAGCUUAUUCUAUCGAUUAGCUGCAGUAAUCUGUCCCUUCCUUUGUUCAUGUGCUUGGUGAUGAAGUCUACAUCUCUACCCAAUUCUUACUUGUUGCUGUAAUCUCACUCUAUUUACGGUUCAGAUUAGUAGAACUAAUUAGUCUAUCUACUGUUAGUGUUUUUAUUUGCAAAAAUCUGAGAUCCACCCAAUCCUUUGUAGUUAGUUAAUCUUGUUGUCGAGUAUUCAGUUUGUUUUGCAUUAGAAAUCAGUGGAUCCUUUGCUUUGUGCUGUGAUCUUUCUGCCUGAGCAAAAACAAAAAAAAAUCAGUUACUGUUCACUAGAUUUUAGAGUUUAACUAGUGUUUUUAAUCUGUCCCAUUCUAGUUACUUUUCUCCUAUCCAAUACUUAGAUUUUUGCUUGAGAUCUUUGUUGAAUCUUGCUUUUAGUUUUGCUGUUCUCAUAAACAAAAUCACCAAAAAAAUAUUUUCUCUUUGUCAUCUUAAGUUUCAGAAUCUCUGACCCAUUCUUGCCAAACUUGCUUGUGUGAAUCGGUACUCUGUUUCAGUUUAGAGGCAUUUGAAUUUGGGCACCAAAAAUCAUUCUCUUUUGAUCUAGCUGUAAAAAACUGCUAAGAACUUGUAAUUUGGUCCCAGUGAAAAAACGACAACCCUAUACUUUCAGUGGAUCACAGCCGCCUGGACGGAGAAGAAAAAGCAGGGGAGGAAGACUGAGCCGUAGAAAAAGCAUCAGUUCCAUGAUUUUCCCCGUUGAAUAUUUUGCCAAGCUCCAAUGUUGAGGUCGUCUGAUAUGCACCUCAAAGGUAGAAAAAGCAUCAGUUCCAUGAUUUUCCCCGUUGAAUAUUUUGCUAAGCUCCAAUGUUGAGGUCGUCUGAUAUGCACCUCAAAGGAUAAGAGGGUCAGCUGAGCUACAUCACGGAUCAGAUAAAAGAAAUGGGACGACGUGAUUCAUUGCGGUGCAGCACGAAGUUAAUGUCUAGUCUAGUUUAGUGUGUCUUCGUGCUGCACGCCAGCACGUGAACCUCAAACAAUCGUAAAUAAUACAUGCCGCGCCCCGCGCGCGUGGGUGUUCUUUUUUUAACGCUGUUUUCUGAUUUUCUGAGAUAAAGGAUGAUAGAAUUUUUGAAGCUGGAGAGAUGCUGACGCGUGGGAAGGACGAAGGCAAGUCUGUAUUUUUUUCUUCUUCUGAUUAGGCCGUCCCAUUUCUGAUUAUGUACUGUUUUAGGUAUUUAAAUCUAUUAUCUGAAUUUGCUAGCGCACAGGUGCCUUUUUUUUUUGAAAAUCAGUUGAACCGAUCAUGCUUUAAGAUCUGUGAAAAUUUGGUCGCCUUUCUUUUUUUUUUCUUUUUGUGUCGAGCCUCUUUUCUUUCUGUUAUCUCUUUCCAGAGGGCUCGGCCGACGCCUCGACCUCGUGUUCUGGAAAUGAGGGGUUCCAGCCUCCCACCUCGUUCGAGUCGCCUUCUGGUUCUCUCGCGUGGGCGCAGCUGACGCUUCCUACAACCGCCCUGGUCUGACGUGGCGGCGAAGUCCGCCUCGUUGUCCUCGACGUCGCCAUCCUUCUCCGUCGUGUGUGGGGGCUGGGCGAGGGCGCGCGGGUGCCACAGAGGCACGCGCUGGUGUGCGUCGGUGAGGAGGACGGGUCCGUAGAGGCGGGGCGAAGUCAAGGAGGGCAAGGCAUCUUUAUUCACUUCGGCAUCUGCUUGUGCGAUGAGUGCUUCGUUUAUACCCUGACCGAAAUGGUUGUAUACUGUUGAUCUGGAAUGAUCGCUUCAUAGAAUUGGUACUUGAGGAAUUUAUACGUACUCAAAGUACUUAAGUAAAUAUUUAAGAAAUAGUGGUAUUGGAAUACAAUAUUAACAUACUAGAAAGAUCAUCUAGAUACAAUACCAAUCCGAAAAACCUAUGGUGAUUGUCAGGUUACAGCCCGAAGGAAAUGUACAAACGUAAUUAAAUUGUAUAUUUAAUUA